GUGGAUUAGAUACCCGGGUAGUCCACGCCCUAAACGAUGCGAACUGGAUGUUGGGUGCAAUUUGGCACGCAGUAUCGAAGCUAACGCGUUAAGUUCGCCGCCUGGGGAGUACGGUCGCAAGACUGAAACUCAAAGGAAUUGACGGGGGCCCGCACAAGCGGUGGAGUAUGUGGUUUAAUUCGAUGCAACGCGAAGAACCUUACCUGGCCUUGACAUGUCGAGAACUUUCCAGAGAUGGAUUGGUGCCUUCGGGAACUCGAACACAGGUGCUGCACGGCCGUCGUCAACU
rnacentral:rRNA from 1 species